CCGGUCAUGCGUUCAAGUUGUGCUCUUACAGCGCAGAGGAAUCCUGAACCGGGCAUGGAGUCGAGGCCCAGUAGCAGCCUGGUGAUGGAGAUCAUGUAAUCCUUGACGAACGACUGUCCACAAGGAGCGUGUCUAGCAUGCUGACACUGAACACUUUGCCUGCUGCAAAGGGCAGACGGAACAUAAACACCAGGUUGGAUCCUCGCUCCCUUUCCUUCUGCAGGAUGGACGUUAUGGAUGCCAUUUCGAUGAUCCAAGCCUUUCUGCUAUGACUCAUGAACUCUGAUGAGAGACCUUUUGCUGUGCCUUACUUGUCCAUGGAGCCCACUGUGUAGAAAACCAUGGGGAACCAGCAGAUAGCCUCCAGGAAGUCUGCCUCAGCAGGGACUCACUUGGCCCUCAUCAGGUCCUGGUCUUUGAGAGCAGACCCCUGCAGGUAGAUGACUCUCUGGGCCCACAGAGGAACAUGAAGGACUCUUCUAACCUGGACGUCCAUUUCUGCCGGGCACAGGAUCACCACAUUCUCAGUCAUCAAGGUCACGGCGAUCCGCAAAAGUGGAGUUGAGCACAAUGAGCGCCACGAAGAUCAUGAUGACCACCAGGAGCUGCGAGGGCCAGAUCUGCGGGGUGACGUCCCCGAAGCCCACCGUAGAAAAGGUGACGACGCAGAAGUAGAGCGAAUCGAACAAGGUCAGGUUGUUGCCGGCCCGCUCCAGGUGCUGGAUGCCGCAGAUGCUGUUUUGGUCAGGAGGUGUACCUAAUGAAGUGUGGGAAUGUUUCAACAGUGUUUUGGCUUGUAGGCGGGUGGAUGCAUUCCAGAGCUAAUGUGCGGAAGAGUGCAUAUUUAAGUGUACGGGAGCAGCCCAUUGGGGAUGGAAACAAGUGAUCAUGAAGGGGACGGCGCUGAUCAUCUCCAGAAUGAAGGGGACACGUAGUACUUGCUCCCAGACGUUGCCCUGGAAACGCAAAGCACACACAAGAGGGCCCACAGCGGUAGAGGUCUAUCCACCCAGAUGAUCAGCUUCCUGCAGAGUGGAAGGACAUGACAUGACAGGACAAGGGAGCACAGGUUGUCCAGAAGCACUCUGACGAUGUAGAGGAGGCAGCUCAGCACUUUGAGCGCAAAGUUAAACAUUCGCACUCGUAAACCUGCAAAUGGAAAGAUUGGAGGCUUGCUUCAGUCUGUGUUAACUCUUUAUGGCGAGGAACCAUAUUUUAAGGUAGGCCUCUGUAUGAUACAGAAAAGCAUGAAAAUUGACGAUAAGAAUGAACACUUUGAAAUUUAGGAAAUACACAUAUGACAUUGAAUGUUAGUUGAUUUUUUUUCUUUUUUUUAAAUGUCACAAAAGUAAAAAUAUAUGUGAAAAGUUGAAUUCCCAAUGGCUAAUACUACUAAAGUGUAUUCAGUGCUAAAAUUAUAUAUAUAUAUAAAAAAAGAAAUUUACUGCACAGUUUUUUGUCAUCUUGCUACUAAUUUUUUUAAGUUUUGUGUGAAAUUCUUCUAAUUCAGGUUGGAACAAGCUUAUUAUUGACCGAAGCGACUGCUAAUUUUACACUUUCAUUAGCAUUUGUACAACUUAUGGUGUGAGAUUCUUAGUGUAUUACUUUUAUAUUAUGAGAUAAUACUAAAUUCCAAUGAUAAUUGAUUUUGCCCCCCCCAAACGUAGACGAUUACUACAGUACCACCCUUUAGAUAAUUGUGUUGAAUUCCCAAAAUAUGUACUAGACAUUGCCAAAAUGACACUGAAAUCAAAUUAGUAACUGCAAAUUAACCACAACCAUUAAUAUAAUACAAUAUUAAAACAUAAUUCUAUCCAUUUCUGUCAGGUUUCUACUGAUUAAAAUGCUUUAUUUACUUUAUGUAUGAAAUCCCACUACUUGCGGGACCAAGCUCAAUAUUUAUGGACCACUAAAGUUAUUUGCACUUUUACACGCAUGUUUCAGCUUAUUUCAAGUCUUCUACUGAGUUCUAAUGAUCAUUGAUUUUGUAUUUAUUUUUCUCUCACAAAAUUAGUCUAAAUGGUGCCCAAAGUACUUUACAGAGGCUCACAUGAGCAUUUGUGGGUUGAGAUUUUGUUGGGGCUCCUUUCUGUAACAUUUUGAAUAGAGGCGCUAAGAUGGCUCAAGGUGUACCUACUGUUGUGGCUACUGAGUUUAAACACCGUCGCCUCAGCUGCUUGUUGUUCACUCGUCGCAAACAGGUUGAAUGAAAACAUACUGACAAGUGAGAGAGCGCUGAUGCACACCACAUGUUACAUCAACCGGAGUCACUCAUGGAGAACCAAAAGGCAAAUUGAGGCAGCUGAUGAAAGGCAGCCAACACGCUGAGGGGGGGGCAACUCACUGGAUCUUUGGUUUUUGAUGAAGAACAGCUUGAGGCGCUCCUUGAACGUGUUCUCGUUCACGUAGAACUCCACUUGCACCCUGAAGCAGAUGGUGGACAAAAAUGUCUAGAGAGGAAAUAGACUGUGAGCUGGACUGUGAGGGAAAACAAAUCAAAUUGCAGAUAAAAAGGGGUGAUAAUUAUUUAAGCAUAUCAAGUAUUAGAAGAAGAGUCAGUAAUGGCUUUUAGGAGGAAAUGGCGCUCCAGUAGAGCCCAGUCAUCCUCUUUUGCUCUCGUUAGCCACGCUGAUUGAAUAUCGAGCAACAAAUGACUUGCCUCUGAUGUGACUGCUCAACAUGAGAGACCAUAAUUGCUACUUUUUUUUCCCGCCCCUUUUCCAUGCCGGCACCCUUCUGGCGAGAGCGACGUGUGCGCAAAACUACCCGCCUGCACGCGUGUGGGUUAUUAGGAUUAUUACAGCGCUCACGCAGAGACGCGAUGGAAAACAACAAAGAGGCCCUGUCCGACUCGGACUGGAUGGAGAUCUGCCCUCACUUCCCAAAGAGCUCCUAUUGAGAUUUCCGACUUCCGACGUGGUCGCUCCUCUGUUUAAAUGCAAGCGCCCCCCACCAGAAAUUCCAUCGGGGGGACGAGGACGUUGACAGAUGAGCCAAGAAUGUUUGGGGGAAAAUGAGACGAUCAUUCCCUCGACGACGUCAUUUCAUGGGCAUGUCUACUAACGAUGACGUGAUGUCAUCGACGCGUGUCACAAAUGAACCGUCUUGCGUGGCGGAAUUAUUACUAUCACCACAAAUGUCCACGGUUGUGCUUAAUAUUUCAAGUGGGAUUAAAUUGAAGUCAAAUAUCAUCAAUACUGUUACUCUUCACAACUUUGCGGAUGCAAAGACGAUCGGGAUUGGUUUAGCCCAAAGGCUAAGAGGACGAUCGGGAUUGGUUUAGCCCAAAGGCUAAGAAGACGAUCGGGAUUGGUUUAGCCCAAAGGCUAAGAGGACGAUCGGGAUUGGUUUAGCCCAAAGGCUAAGAAGACGAUCGGGAUUGGUUUAGCCCAAAGGCUAAGAAGACGAUCGGGAUUGGUUUAGCCCAAAGGCUAAGAAGAUGAUCGGGAUUGGUUUAGCCCAAAGGCUAAGAGGACGAUCGGGAUUGGUUUAGCCCAAAGGCUAAGAAGACGAUCGGGAUUGGUUUAGCCCAAAGGCUAAGACGUUGCGCAGUGAUUUGCUAGUGAACAAACCCGAACCAGUCGUCCACUUUGAGGUAAAUGAAUGUAAAGUGCAAUACAAAUAAAAUGUAUUAUUGUUAUUAAUUACCCCCAAGGUUCCCAUUAAUAUGAGACACAUUUAUUUACAGUUUAUUAUUAUUAUUAUUUUUAAAUCACAGCUGUAUUUCCUAUAAAUUAUUAACACCCAUACACAACGGUGCUACGCUCUGUUUGCAUGACUGUUUCCGUUCACUGUCUUCAGUCCCGUUUGAGUGUUCAAAGUAAACCAUCAAAAAUGUACAAAUUACACCGGAGGGUCAUGACCUCCUGUCCACACAAUUGUUGGCAAGAGGGAUCUUAGAAAUGCAAUCAAAAAGUGCUGCCCCCCCCCCCCCCCGUGUGCGAGCCAUGAAUUAUGCAGCAUCUUUAACGUCCUUUGUGUGGAAAAUUGUGCCACCUGAGGGUCUUCAGGA